rnacentral:rRNA from 1 species
GACGAACGCUGGCGGCGUGCUUAACACAUGCAAGCCGAACGGAAAGGCCCUGCUUUUGUGGGGUGCUCGAGUGGCAAACGGGUGAGUAACACGUGAGUAACCUGCCCUUGACUUUGGGAUAACUUCAGGAAACUGGGGCUAAUACCGGAUAGGAGCUCCUGCUGCAUGGUGGGGGUUGGAAAGUUUCGGCGGUUGGGGAUGGACUCGCGGCUUAUCAGCUUGUUGGUGGGGUAGUGGCUUACCAAGGCUUUGACGGGUAGCCGGCCUGAGAGGGUGACCGGCCACAUUGGGACUGAGAUACGGCCCAGACUCCUACGGGAGGCAGCAGUGGGGAAUAUUGCACAAUGGGCGGAAGCCUGAUGCAGCAACGCCGCGUGCGGGAUGACGGCCUUCGGGUUGUAAACCGCUUUCGCCUGUGACGAAGCGUGAGUGACGGUAAUGGGUAAAGAAGCACCGGCUAACUACGUG